UGAUGAGUCAGCUGUUUCGCGGGAGAGAUCCAACAGAAGAGGAACUACGGGCAAUCUGCGGAAUUAUUGACGACCAGACCCUCAUGUUUCAUAAGCACAUGUGAUUCGUGCUUGGUGGAAGAUUGUUUUGCGCCCUGUGAAGAGGCAGAAAUUGGUUCUACACUAUGGGGAGGAUGUUGCAGAGGGUGUUAUAUAACAAGUUGCUCCCAUUCAACGAGUUAGCAGAUGGUCUAUUAGGGCAAUUUGGGUUUCGACGAGCAAUGGAAACGGUUGUGGAUUUGGUUUGGGAGAUGAUGUGGGGAAAGCCGUUAAUUUGGUCAACUGGUGUUGGAUUAAGAGGAGUUUUGCUAAAUUGAAUGUUCCUUGUUACUUAGCUUGGUUAAUCGCGAGUUACAUCUCGCAGACCUUUUGCUUAUACGAGACAAAUGGGGGACUGAAAGAAUACAUAGCUUCAGCAGGUGGUCACCAAGUUUCCGUAUUGAGUCCACUCAUGAAGAACAUAAUGCAUGAUGGAGCGCUUGGCCUUCGCAUUUCAGAGAAGACAAUGAUAAAGUUCAUGGUGAAAGCUGCUUCGUUUCGCCAGCCAUGCUUGGAACGUGCUGAUAUUUCGCAGAGGAAAGUUUAACGACAGGACUUGUUUGCUCGAUAGGAUUCUAAAUGAAUGCGUUUAGCUGCGGAACAGCUCGACCCAUACGCCGACGAAACUUUUUUCGUUUAAAGGAAAGAACUGAGGCAGAUAUAUUCGCCAAUAAUGGUGAUUUAUAGGAAGCUCAAAUGGCUUCUUCCGAGCAAUUGGCCAUUAUUCUUUAAGUUUCCGCGUGCUACAUAAAAUUUCAUUACGCCAUAACUCGUGCAUAAAGCGUGCUCGCGAGAAAAAAAUAACGAAGCAAGACGGUAUGAGGACGGCCACACGAAUCCUUGCAGGGCUCCGUCAAGAGAGUCGCUGCGCUAGCCGCCCUUCGCCCAUACUAUUGUUUGGAAGUUCUCGCGGCUUGGUCACAGCAAGGAGGCAAAUGGUUCCUUAAAGUUCAUAUCCAGUUUUUCAGCUAGCUUAGAGCUCGUUGCUAGCUCACUGUUGAAUUGUUUACAUCAAAAUGUUAGACCGAUAAAAAUUAAUUAAGUGUAAUAUUUUGCCAAUAAAGUAAAGUGGAUUUCCGUGAUGGAGCCUUAGUCUUCAGGAAAUGGGAAAAGUUUUCAGUCGGCCAUUAUUUUUUCUCCUUAAAUUGUUGUUGUUUUAUAGACUAAACGGUUAACGGUAUGUAGAACAGGCAUAUCACACUGGGCAAGCGCAUCUGCCCAU